rnacentral:rRNA from 1 species
UAAGGAAUAUUGGUCAAUGGGCGCAAGCCUGAACCAGCCAUGCCGCGUGCAGGAAGACGGCCCUAUGGGUUGUAAACUGCUUUUGUCAGGGAAUAAACCCCCGCUCGUGAGCGGGGCUGAAGGUACCUGAAGAAUAAGCAUCGGCUAACUCCGUGCCAGCAGCCGCGGUAAUACGGAGGAUGCAAGCGUUAUCCGGAUUCAUUGGGUUUAAAGGGUGCGCAGGCGGAUUGGUAAGUCAGGGGUGAAAUCCCACAGCUCAACUGUGGGACUGCCUUUGAUACUGGCAGGCUUGAGUAUUAGUGGAGUGGGCGGAAUGGGUCAUGUAGCGGGGAAAUGGUUAGGAAUGGCAAAGGACAACGGUCGGGAAGGCAGCUCGGUAAGGUAUUACUGGCGGUUAUGGAAGAAAGGGUGGGGAUCAAACAG